rnacentral:rRNA from 1 species
AGGGAGCUUGCUCCCUGAUUCAGCGGCGGACGGGUGAGUAAUGCCUAGGAAUCUGCCUGGUAGUGGGGGACAACGUUUCGAAAGGAACGCUAAUACCGCAUACGUCCUACGGGAGAAAGUGGGGGAUCUUCGGACCUCACGCUAUCAGAUGAGCCUAGGUCGGAUUAGCUAGUUGGUGAGGUAAUGGCUCACCAAGGCGACGAUCCGUAACUGGUCUGAGAGGAUGAUCAGUCACACUGGAACUGAGACACGGUCCAGACUCCUACGGGAGGCAGCAGUGGGGAAUAUUGGACAAUGGGCGAAAGCCUGAUCCAGCCAUGCCGCGUGUGUGAAGAAGGUCUUCGGAUUGUAAAGCACUUUAAGUUGGGAGGAAGGGUUGCUGAUUAAUACUCUGCAAUUUUGACGUUACCGACAGAAUAAGCACCGGCUAACUCUGUGCCAGCAGCCGCGGUAAUACAGAGGGUGCAAGCGUUAAUCGGAAUUACUGGGCGUAAAGCGCGCGUAGGUGGUUUGUUAAGUUGAAUGUGAAAUCCCCGGGCUCAACCUGGGAACUGCAUCCAAAACUGGCAAGCUAGAGUAGGGCAGAGGGUGGUGGAAUUUCCUGUGUAGCGGUGAAAUGCGUAGAUAUAGGAAGGAACACC